rnacentral:piRNA from 1 species
UGAUUUUUCAAUUGGGCGUUC